AGAAGUCAAAGAAGGGAGGCGCACAGCAGGAGGGGAAGAAAGAGGAGAUGGAACAGCUGGCUGCCUUGAAGGAGAUCAGUGUAUCAAAAAGGCUCCCCAAAACAACCUGGCAGAUGCAGGAGAUGACAAGUCUUCAGUUGUCAACCACUUAGACAAGAUGAGUCCUUCACUGAAGAUGGACUGGACCUGCACUAUUGCUGCGCCGCUGUGGCCAAUGUAGACAGGCCUGGAAGGCUCACCUCAUGGGCAGAGAGGGCUGUAAACAGAACUCACGGAGGACUGUGGUAUCGCAGUAAGCUCAGCAGGCACAAGAUGUCCUUUGUGUCCAAUCAAACAUGCAUAUGUUGACCAAUGGGUAAAAUUGUAUGUUUAUUGUGUAGAUCCUCCUCUAAAUAAACAAUGGUCAAACCUCAUGUCUCUAU